rnacentral:tRNA from 1 species
GAGGUUAUAGCUCAGUUGUAGAGCACGUGCUUAGCAUACGCAAGGUCUUGGGUUCAAUCCCCAGUACCUCCA